rnacentral:rRNA from 1 species
UGGGGAAUAUUGCACAAUGGGCGAAAGCCUGAUGCAGCGACGCCGCGUGAGGGAUGACGGCCUUCGGGUUGUAAACCUCUUUCGACAGGGACGAAGCGUAAGUGACGGUACCUGUAGAAGAAGCACCGGCCAACUACGUGCCAGCAGCCGCGGUAAUACGUAGGGUGCGAGCGUUGUCCGGAAUUACUGGGCGUAAAGAGCUUGUAGGCGGUUUGUCGCGUCGUCUGUGAAAACUCACAGCUCAACUGUGAGCUUGCAGGCGAUACGGGCAGACUUGAGUACUGCAGGGGAGACUGGAAUUCCUGGUGUAGCGGUGAAAUGCGCAGAUAUCAGGAGGAACACCGGUGGCGAAGGCGGGUCUCUGGGCAGUAACUGACGCUGAGAAGCGAAAGCGUGGGUAGCGAACAGGAUUAGAUACCCUGGUAGUCCACGCCGUAACGGUGGGUACUAGGUGUGGGUUUCCUUCCACGGGAUCCGUGCCGUAGCUAACGCAUUAAGUACCCCGCCUGGGGAGUACGGCCGCAAGGCU